rnacentral:rRNA from 1 species
AGCGAACGCUGGCGGCAGGCCUAACACAUGCAAGUCGAACGAACCCUUCGGGGUUAGUGGCGGACGGGUGAGUAACACGUGGGAACGUGCCUUUAGGUUCGGAAUAACACAGGGAAACUUGUGCUAAUACCGAAUGUGCCCUUCGGGGAAAGAUUUAUCGCCUUUAGAGGGGCCCGCGUCUGAUUAGCUAGUUGGUGAGGUAAAGGCUCACCAAGGGGACGAUCAGUAGCUGGUCUGAGAGGAUGGCCAGGCCACAUUGGGACUGAGACACGGCCCAAACUCCUACGGGAGGCAGCAGUGGGGAAUCUUGCGCAAUGGGCGAAAGCCUGACGCAGCCAUGCCGCGUGUAUGAUGAAGGUCUUAGGAUUGUAAAAUACUUUCACCGGUGAAGAUAAUGACUGUAGCCGGAGAAGAAGCCCCGGCUAACUUCGUGCCAGCAGCCGCCGUAAUAC